CCUACGGGAGGCAGCAGUGGGGAAUAUUGGGCAAUGGGCGCAAGCCUGACCCAGCAACGCCGCGUGAAGGAAGAAGGCUCUCGGGUUGUAAACUUCUUUUUAGAGGGGAGAGCAGAAGACGGUACCUCUUGAAUAAGCCACGGCUAACUACGUGCCAGCAGCCGCGGUAAUCCGUAGGGGGCAAGCGUUGUCCGGCAUUACUGGGUGUAAAGGGCUUGCAGGCGGGAAGAAAAGUCAGAUGUGAAAUCCAGCGGCUCAACCGCGGUACUGCCUUUGAAACUGUUUUUCUUGAGUACCGGAGAGGUCAUCGGAAUUCCUUGUGUAGCGGUGAAAUGCGUAGAUAUAAGGAAGAACACCAGUGGCGAAGGCGGAUGACUGGACGGCAACUGACGGUGAGGCGCGAAAGCGUGGGGAGCAAACAGGAUUAGAUACCCUGGUAGUC
rnacentral:rRNA from 1 species